AUCUUCGGCAAUGGGCGAAAGCCUGACCGAGCGACGCCGCGUGCGGGAUGAAGGCCUUCGGGUUGUAAACCGCUGUCGUUGGGGAGGAAGUGCAGGGGGGUUCUCCCCUCUGUUUGACCUAUCCAAGGAGGAAGUACGGGCUAAGUUCGUGCCAGCAGCCGCGGUAAGACGAACCGUACGAACGUUAUUCGGAAUUACUGGGCUUAAAGGGUGCGUAGGCGGCGCGGUAAGUUGGGUGUGAAAGCCCUCGGCUCAACUGAGGAACUGCACUCAAAACUACCGUGCUUGAGGGAGACAGAGGUAAGCGGAACUCAAGGUGGAGCGGUGAAAUACGUUGAUAUCUUGAGGAACACCGGUGGCGAAGGCGGCUUACUGGGUCUUUUCUGACGCUGAGGCACGAAAGCUAAGGUAGCAAACGGGAUUAGAUACCCCGGUAGUCUUAGCUGUAAACGAUGAGCACUUGUUUGAAGGGUCCUCCAUAGCCUUUCAGACGUAGCGAAAGUGUUAAGUGCUCCGCCUGGGGAGUAUGGUCGCAAGGCUGAAACUCAAAGAAA
rnacentral:rRNA from 1 species